GAUGAACGCUAGCGGCAGGCCUAACACAUGCAAGUCGAGGGGGAAGUUACUUUCGGGUGACUGAGACCGGCGUACGGGUGCGUAACGCGUAUACAAUCUGCCUUUCACUGGGGGAUAGCCCGAAGAAAUUUGGAUUAAUACCCCAUAGUAUAUAGGGACGGCAUCGUUUUUAUAUUAAAGCUUAGGUGGUGAAAGAUGAGUAUGCGUUCUAUUAGCUAGUUGGAGGGGUAACGGCUCCCCAAGGCGAUGAUAGAUAGGGGUUCUGAGAGGGAUGUCCCCCACACUGGUACUGAGAUACGGACCAGACUCCUACGGGAGGCAGCAGUGAGGAAUAUUGGACAAUGGUCGGAAGACUGAUCCAGCCAUGCCGCGUGCAGGAUGAAGGUCUUAUGGAUUGUAAACUGCUUUUGUAAGGGAAGAAUAAGGGCUACGCGUAGUUUGAUGACGGUACCUUACGAAUAAGCAUCGGCUAACUCCGCG
rnacentral:rRNA from 1 species